CAUGUUGGUGGCAGAGUUUUCCGGCUCUUCACACUGGACCACUGCUUUCUUUUGUGCUGGACAAGACGGAGCUUUUCUUGUGGCCGAGUCAGGCAAAAGAAGAUCUGCCAUCUACCAGAGUGACCUAUCACUUCAGACAGAACUCUGGAACGCGGAACAGUCUAUCCUUGAUUGAAGUCGCUCUCUCUGCUGAAAUGGCAUCUAGCUGAUGACCUUGGCAUCUGUGCUGACUUGUGUGUGAUUGCUUCUCUAAAAUAAUGGAAUAAGAACGUGGAACGUGAUGCUUUAAAAGGACUCUGUGGUUGCUCUGUUUUGGGUGUUCUUGCUUUGAUUUGGCAAGUGUUUAUGGGGCUGAGAUGAUGUUCAGAUCUGCAAGUUUCAGUGCUUCCUUUAGUGUUGUGGACGGGUUUUCUCUACCCAGCCUUUCUUCCUGGGAGAACUACCCUUUCCUGCUCUACCCACAGCACUUGGUUGAAGCAGACCUUUCUCCCCGGCUGUGAGAGUGGGAGCCAGCCCGACAGUCCCGGAACUGCUGGGAGAGCUAGCAGGAGAGAGCCUCUCUCUGCUGUAAAGGCCACAGAGUCGUGGGACUGCCUGUGGCUGCUUUGCCACCACACAGCGAUGGGCAGCUUGAGAAUGAAGGCAGUCAAGAAGGAAAUCUGUUCCCGUGACCUUGUCUGGAUGCCACUGCUCACCUUGGACUCCCAAUCAUUUCUGCCUGAAAGCACGGGCCUAACUGCCUCGUUUUAUGGAGUUGCUGGUGCCAAGCAUUAGCUCACCGUCUGGGGAAACGAAGCUACUACGGAGAAAAUGAGCCGCCCUGGCUGCAGCGCUCGGCUUGGAAGGGAAGCAGGCCCCAUCGGACUGGGUCGUGUCUGUGGCUGGUGGAGAGCUGCCUGCACCUGGGCCUCGGCUCCGUUUGUUGGCCUGGAAGCAGUGUUCGGAGCAAACCUUCACCCAACUUUUCCAGUCUAAAACCCAGUUUCCUUGCAGGCUAGUUAAGUGGCUGAGGACAGCAUUAGAUUUUCAACCAGCCCUGUCCUCUUGGGAUGCUAUGUGGAGAGGCCAGAUGAGCUGGGAAGAGGAGGCCCCGCACAGCAGGAAGGUGACCAGGACAAGGAAGUGGCUUCUCCAUUGAAAGAUGGCGGACAUGUGCUCGCUCGCAAGGGCUCGGCCAGUUCUCACAGAUACAAAGCCAGCUAUCCUGAAGGUUAGCUGAGGUGGGACACAGAAAGAGUCAAGAAAGCAGAUACGUUGAAGGAAACUUGACUUUCCAGAAAGAAUUCUUUUUGUACCACAUGCUGAAGAAUCGUAGUUGGCCUUCAUCUCUCAUAAAACGUGAAUCCCUUUAAACCUAAAUGUGUCUGUACUGCGGUUAAGACGGACUUCCUGGAAGGCUGUCCACAUGGAUCCAAAACAAAUCUUAAGUAGUACUUGUGGUCCAAAAAGGGGAGGAAAAUCUGCAGAGACAGACUCCUCGGCUGCAGGCAAGGUUGCAUGCGUUCAGUUUUUAGUUCUUAAAAUCCCAAAACUAACCAACGGGGAUAGGACUCAAAGAAUGGUUGUUGCCUGGUGGGGGGAGAAGCAGGAUGGACAUUGAGUGGAAAAGGGCCUAAGGGGACUUCCUAGGAUUGUGGAAAUUUUGAUAGAAGUGUUGAUUACAUGGGUGUAAACAUUUGUCAAAAUUUAUUAAACUCUGCCCUGAAGAUCUGUGCAUUUUAUUCUACGCCAUUAUACCUCAACUUAAACAUGUAGAAACAAAUAAAC
ensembl:lncRNA